UCCAUCUGUCCAUCCCCCCGGUGGAGCUGAGGAGGCCAGAAAGCAACUUCCAGACUCAGAGAGAGUUGCCCCAUCACCUCCUAGGACCAGGAGUAGUUACCACCUUCGCGUCCGUAAAGCCCAUGGAACACCAUCGUGGAUCCCAGCUGAGAAAGAUUGAUUGAGGCCGUGACAUUCAUUUC
rnacentral:lncRNA from 1 species